GGCUCAGGAUGAACGCUAGCUACAGGCUUAACGACAUGGCGAAGUCGGGGGGCAGCACGGAAGCAGCAAUGCUUUUGGGUGGCGACCGGCGAAUGGGUGAGUAACGAGUACUCCAACCUGCCCCGUGCUCCGGGACAGCCCCGCGAAAGCGGGAUUAAUACCGGAUGGUGCGUAUGUCCCGCAUGGGAUAUACGUCAAAGAUUCAUCGGGCACGGGAUGGGGAUGCGUCCGAUUAGCUGGUUGGCGGGGUAACGGCCCACCAAGGCGAUGAUCGGUAGGGGUUCUGAGAGGAAGGUCCCCCACAUUGGAACUGAGACACGGUCCAAACUCCUACGGGAGGCAGCAGUGAGGAAUAUUGGUCAAUGGCCGCAAGGCUGAACCAGCCAAGUAGCGUGAGGGAUGACCGCCCUAUGGGUCGUAAACCUCUUUGCACGGGAAUAACCGCACCCACGCGCUGGGUGCCUGCAUGUACCGUGCGAAUAAGCAUCGGCUAACUCCGUGCC
rnacentral:rRNA from 1 species